rnacentral:lncRNA from 13 species
AUGGCUGCAGUUGCCAGCAGAUGCAGAAUAAGGAGUCUCCAGCUCAUAUUCUCUGACACAAACAAUGGUCUGGCAGCUGUGCAUGGACAAAAGUGCCUUUGUGGGAGCUUUGGGAUCCAGAAAAGAGGUCACAAAACUCUGGUGAAGCUGAAGACAGAGGAGAGCCACUCUGAGAAGGCGCAGAGUGAAGAAAUUGCAAGUCAUACAUUGCAAGUAUGCACAGAAAAGAUUUCAACCUCAAAUAAAAUCUGGCACUGAAGUUUCACUCCCUUCGUGGAACAAAUGUAUCAAGACUUGGUCAGAAUUGAAGGCCAGAACACUUUCAAAAGUGAAGGGGUACAAGCUCAGGAAUGGUAGCUGUCCUAACACCUACCAAAGGAUCC